rnacentral:rRNA from 1 species
ACGGAAGGCAGCAGUGGGGAAUAUUGGGCAAUGGGCGAAAGCCUGACCCAGCAACGCCGCGUGAAGGAAGAAGAUUUUCGGAUUGUAAACUUCUUUUAUGAGGGACGAAGGACGUGACGGUACCUCAUGAAUAAGCCACGGCUAACUACGUGCCAGCAGCCGCGGUAAUACGUAGGUGGCGAGCGUUAUCCGGAUUUACUGGGUGUAAAGGGCGCGUAGGCGGGGUGACGAGUCAGAUGUGAAAUCUAUGGGCUCAACCCAUAAACUGCAUUUGAAACUGCCACUCUUGAGUGCUGGAGAGGUAGACGGAAUUCCUUGUGUAGCGGUGAAAUGCGUAGAUAUAAGGAAGAACACCAGUGGCGAAGGCGGUCUACUGGACAGUAACUGACGCUGAGGCGCGAAAGCGUGGGGAGCAAACAGGAUUAGAUACCCUGGUA